rnacentral:rRNA from 1 species
GACGAACGCUGGCGGCGUGCCUAAUACAUGCAAGUCGAGCGAAGAGGCUUGGUGCUUGCUCCAAUUUGAAGAGCAGCGAACGGGUGAGUAACGCGUGGGGAACCUGCCUUUGAGCGGGGGACAACAUCGGGAAACGAAUGCUAAUACCGCAUAACAUCUUUAAACAUAAGGUUCAAGAUUGAAAGAUGCAAUUGCAUCACUCAAAGAUGAUCCCGCGUUGUAUUAGCUAGUUGGUGAGGUAAAGGCCCAACCAGGCGAUGGUACAUAGCCGACCUGAGAGGGUGGUCGGCCCACUUGGGAAUGGGACACGGCCCCAAAUCCUUCCGGGAGCAGCAGUAGGGGAUCUUCCGCCAUUGGCGGAAGUCUGACCGGGCAACGCCGCGGGGGGGAAGAAGGGUCUCCGGUCGUUAAACUCUGUUGGUAGGGAAGAACGUUGGUUAGAGUGGAAUGCUCAUGAAGUGACGGUAACUACCCAGAAAGGGACGGCUAACUACGUG